UUGGAGGAGUGUGACUGGCUGAUGGAUGGAGCUGCAGAGCCUCAGACAGGGCAGUGCUGCCAGAAGCUGGGGAAAGCGAGAAGGAGAUGUUUUGUUUACAUUGUCCUGUGUUUCAGAACUAUGGCAAAUGGACUGAGAGGGCUUGUUCACAGAUAGCAUCAGAGCUAUUACCAGGUGCCAAACCCAGUUGGAUCUGCUGAGGAAACUUCAUCAGUAAUCAUGGAUGCUGCAUCCUGCAGACCUGAUCUAUGAGUGGGAGCAUCACAGAAUUCAUUCUGAGAGGAGUGGAGGUGCAGGGCCUGUCACUUCAAAAGGUGCACUCAGGAAAGACCAGAGAUGGGUUGAGGUACAGCUAACUCUCUAACUGUGACAUCUGCCUAGGGAGACCUUUUAACCUUUAGAGGACAGGUUGCCCCAAUCCUGUCUCCUCUUUUCUUUGUCACAUUUAUAUUUCCAUUUCCUCGUCACAUUUAUAUUUCCAUUUCCUCCUUCCCCCUACCCAUUUUUGCAUAUCCCAGAACACGUGUUGUACAAUCCCCAUCUACGUGCACAGCUGUGGAGGUUCCUUCAGUGCACUGGAGGUUGGUUCUAGUGGGUGUCACCAGUCAGAGAGCUCCUGGACUAUAGCUGGCAGGGUUGGGUGGACCCUCCAAUGCUCACCCUGUGCAUGGGGCUGCUCCCCCACAUGUUCCUCUCUGUGUGCUUGAGGAGGUGAAGACUAUCCAGUUCCUUGCAGAUCCUGGGAAGGAAUCCUCUGAAGCUUGACAUUAGGUCCCUAUCCUAUGAGCUCUCCUAGUUGCUUGCAAUGAAUUCACAUAGGCCAGCUUUCAUUCCAUGUUGCUUACAAAGCCUGCUUGGGACAUAAGUGGGUGCCACCUUCACAUAGCUGUGAGGAUGGGCAUAUUGUUGGCAUGGUUUACAGUCUCCUACCACCUGCCAUUUCGGCAGUGACUCGGAGAGGAAACCGUGGAGCAUGCUUCAUUCCUUAAAUCACACAUGUGGGCAGAGUUCCUUUAAGCAUUGUCCACUGAUUUCUUAGAGUCUCUCUCCAAACAGUGGGCAUUAUCCAGGGUUCUCUGCUCGGUGGCCUCCUCUGGUUCCCUCAUUCUGACCCUAUGACUUGCACUCCUGUUCUCGCAUACUUUGUCCCCCAUGAUUAAUUGAUCCUUGUUCCUCUAUAGCUUGCCUCUCCCUGCCUUUUGUCAAGGGAGGAGCCCCUUUGGCCCCACCCAUCCCUACAGGGAUCAGAUAGUCGGGCAACUUCAUGAGCAGUCAGUUCACAUUAUAUUAAAAAAACAAACAGACAGACAAAAACCCUAUUGUUACCAGAAUACCAGGAUUAUCGAGGAGAACGACGUGCCAUACUGAAAUUACAAAUGGAUGAUUUAGAGCGAGCAGCCUACUUUUACAAAAGAAACCUGUUACAUCAUAUUCAUUUAUUUUGUAGUUCAUGACAAUAAUCAGUUCUGCACCCUUGUUAGAUAUGUGACAAAAGCGCUCAAGAAGAUGAAAAUUACUCUGCAGUUCACCAGCAUGAAAAGCCAUCUGGGCUAGUUGUCUUCCAGACUAUCUUCCUGCUGUGCUAACUCCACCCACAAAUUAUAACUCACUAAUAAGGAACAUGGUGGGGCCGUGAAAGUUACUUAAAAAAAAAGCCCCAUUAAUCACAGUAGCAGCCAAGAUACAUUCAAUGUGAAAGUUAAAGUUUAAACCUGUAGGGUCAGAUUCUGCCAAGCUACUCACACUGCAUAGUCCCUUACUGCAUGAGGAAAGAAAUGCAACUUCUCCCAGAGGGAGGUACUACUUAACAUGAAUAAUGGGGGCAGAAUCUGGGCCAUCCUCAGGUGAAUUAUAUUUCAGUCUGCUGGACGGGUGCCUGUUGGCAUGUUUACAAAUUGAAAUAAAUAAACUAUAACCAAUUAGUUAUUGAAAGUGCAGUCAGACUUAUCUGAUGCCAUUUACCUCCUCUAUGGCUGUAUUGUGACUAUUCUGAAGAUUAAAUAACAGAUGUGAAGGAAACAUUUAGUUUUUUGCCAGAUCAUUUUUCAGUAACCAAUAAUUCCUUACUUUAGUGCUCAUUUAAUGGUCUCACCUUCUUUUUUUUGUCCAAUAAAGUUAAUGAAUCUCUUAUUGCUUUUCUAAAUAGCCUUAGCUAAAUUAUUCAUUUUUCCUGUUUGUGAAUACAUUCUUUACAUCCUAUAGAAAUUAACAAUGCUACAAUAUUUUGAUUGCUGUGACUAAAGAGCUUUGAUUUUACUGGCAAUUAACUUUAACUGCUUAUCACUUGUUCACACUGGUCUUGAAGGUCGGUUCAGUUUUGUGUGGCAGGAAACACUCCUCUUGAAUCAACUCUGCUAUCACUUUACCAUUUAAAUGCCUGCUAAUGAAUGUUGCCAGUUCAUUUAACUUCAGUUAACCCUCAAAUUUAACCUUUUAAAGAAAUUUAAUUAAAUCUCUUUGUGCACCCCAAUUUUUUCCACUGGUUAAAAUUGAGAACUGUAUUGAACUGUGAUCACAAUUUCCCAAAUCAUCCUCACUAGGUGUUUUAUUUAGCAUAUCUUCACUGGCUCAUAUUUAGUCCAAAAUGGCUAGUUGACUCAAAGACAUAACUAAUUUUAGAAAAUAGAUUCUCUACAAUACAACUUCUAUUCUGUUCUUACUGAUCUGUGAUAAACUUCUAACUGUGACUCCUAGCCUGCUAGGAUUAACUAUCUUUAGUGUCUCUUAUAAGAUUUCAGCAGCUUUCUUUAGUAAAGAUUUCCUAUAAAAACACUUGACCUUUGCCUCUUAAUACUUCAAUCCAAAUUGCCUCAACAAUUCCUCUUAUUUAAACAACAAAAAAAACCCCAAACCACCCCUAUCCCUCAGCUGUAAUUUAUCAUCACUAUCAUAGACUGCAACUUCACCCCCUUCCUCCUGUGUCUCAUUAAUAUUUUCAAAUAUCUAACCUAACUCUACCCAUCACCCACCUAAUUUAGUAAUUCCUACAGGGUGAACCAUGUCGGCUCCUGCACUGGUACACUAGUAGGAGGAAAGGGUGCAGGUAUCCUGGAUUCAUCCUCAGGAAUAGGGUAAAAAAGAGGUGUGCCUUCUAGCGAUGUUACUGGGUGACCUCAGUAGCAGUCACACCUGUAACUGACAGCAGAAAUUAACAGCAUAGCUUUUGUAUUCCCAAUCCCAAGGGGAUGAAUAGAAUUAAAAAAAAACACUUAAGAAUGUUUCUUAAUUUUUGGCUUCCACAAAUAGUGAAAACUGUAUAUGGCACUUGAGAGGAAAUCACUUACCACCAAUUCCCUUCAAAACGCAAGAAGUCUGCUCUUUCACUUAUAAUUGCCAGUUAGAGAAAAUAAAUUGGAGUACAGACAAAACAUUUGCUCCAAUGAAUUACAAUAGCAUUUGAUAGCAGUUACAACCUUCAGAUAAGUCAGGUUUGGUCAGGUAGGUCACCUACAGUAUAUAUUUCACAGAGUCUUUUGCUGCAACUGUAAAGUAAUUUCAUUUAUUUUUGAGAGGAAAAAAGCAAUUUGACCUAUCUAAACUGAUAUAACCCCUGAUGGGAGAAAUGCCUAAUAAGUUUAUCAGUUACCUAGGGUAGCAGAUGAUGGGGAUAGAAUAAAUAGGAAUCACAUUUACAGUUGAGUUCACCUUUGGUGCAUGUACUUUUGUUUAGUUUAUUUAAGUUUUAUAUAUCUUUCUACAGAUGUUACGCAAUGCAAUAUAAUGAAGAUAAACUCUUUGGCCCUGAUUGAGUCUCAUUUCUUUUAAGGCCCCUUUAAACUGCUAGAGAAGUGUAAAUGGAUAUUAAUGAGAAUGAGAAUCAGUCCCUUUAUCUUAAAAUUAAGGGUUUGGUGGGUAGGUUUUUUUAAAUUUACAUUUAUAAAGCAUAUUUCCUGCCAAAAUGCUUUUCAGCCUGUAUAACACACCACUGCUGAAAUACAUAACAGCUGGAGAGGAAAACAUGAGACACAUGGAGCAUAAUAUAACUUCAGUAAAAGAAGAAAAAGUUUUGGGCAAGGAAAUUGGUGUAAACCAUUAAUCUUAGGAAAGGGCUUAUGAGAUCUUUGCAAUUCACAUAGUAAAGACAGGGCUGCAGCUUUAAGGCCUCAUAAAAGACCAAAAUAUAUUAAAUUGCAUGCCAGUUUAGUCUGUCACCUCAGAAGGAGUAAGGGCUAAGUCAGUCCUGUCAGGAUUUGAACCUAUAGUUCAAGGGAGUGUGGUGAUCCUUAGACUGCUGCUUUAUCACUUUAUAUUAUGGCUGGAUAAACCAUUUUAUCAGACCAAAUAACAAACAUUGAUAUACUCUUGCAUCCAAAUCCUUAAUCAUAAAAAGAGUUUUCAGGCAGAGUCCUCAAUCGAUAGAGGAUUUUUUCUCAGAGUGCUGUGUAUAAAAAAAAGUUCAUAUUAUUGUGUAGCUAUCUUUUUGCAUAUCUACCUUUAUAUCUAUCCAUCCAUUCAUCUGUCCAAUUCAAUCCAAAUCCUAGUAACUGGGUCAGUUUUCUGCAGUGGCUUCUUGGUGAAUUAGAAAAUGAAAAAGCAGACAACAUUCUCCCCCCCCCCCCCAAAAAAAAACAAAAAAAAACAAAAAAACAAAACAAAACACAAACCAACCAAUCAAACACCAUUCAAUCAUAUUUGGUUUUGGUGCAUAAAUAUUUUACUUGGUGAGGGAACUGGGUUUUUCACCAGCUUUCUCAACCUAAAACAUUUUUAAAAAUUUUUGAUUUUCUCCCUUUCACUGGAGGGAAUCAAACUGGUUAACCCUAGCAUUCCAAUACAAAUAUAAUAUAAAAGUUGUCAAUAUUUUGAAUGUAUAGAUGAAUGUGAGCAAACACUUUUAUGCUCAGAAAUGAUGAUCAAACAAUUAAUAUUCUAAUAAAUAUAUGAGAAAUGCUGGAGUCUCUUUCUGCUCUGUACUGUGCCUCAGAAAGGAGAAAGUAACGUUGCACUUUUACUUAAUCCACACUGGAAUAGCUAUAUGGAGGUGACAGCAGUUCUCUUUGCUUUUGCAUUUGCUUUUUAAGGAUUUCUUUCAUCUAUGACAUGACAUUAAAUUCUUUGGACCAAGAAAUAUAGGUCCUGAUUCUCCAUAGCCCUGUACUUUGUGUAGUCAUUUACACCAAGGUGAGGUGAUUGCACAGUAGAUGUAAAAUGCUACCAAAUCAGAAUGGUACCAUUUAACACCCAUUUUGCCCUGGUGUAAAUGUGAGUCAGACCUACAGGAGACAGAAGGUGCCUCAAAAAAUUCUCUUUACAGAGUACCCUAGGAAGCAUUCCUCAAGUCGGAGAAGGUUUGGGAGCCUGGAAAUUUUGCAGGGAGACAGGCCUUCCAGGCUCAGAGAUCCACAAAGUUUAUGACAAAGGGACUCCUCCUCUGCUCUGCAAAGGUUAAAGCUAUCCUGUAUAUACUACUGCUCCUUUCAGCUGGCCCCCCAUCCCUAUGGCUCCAGUUUGCCACAAACAGUUUGCUAAGCAAUGCUCUAAUUGAUUGCAGUGGGUCUUACAGAAUUGAUCAGUAAUGUCCACAUUUCUAAUUUGUUACCAUUCCCCUCUCUUAGGGCUCUUUCCUUUGACAACCUAAUGAAAGGAAAGCAGUAGCUAGGAGACAAUUAUAAACAGCAGCACAUUAGGCAAGUCUGCAUAUUUUCCCCUUUGUGAAUAGUAUGUUUUGAGUUCACAAACGUUCCCCUCUGACUCCAAUACAUGUAAAUGAGGAAUAUUGAUGACAGUGUAAACCCUUUCCGGCUGAAACUCGCUCCAGCUGAAAAGAUAUUGAUGUGAUGCCAAAAUUUUAACACAUUACCCUUAAAUUGUUCUACCUUAAUCUGCGAUGCUGUUGUUCAUCAUUGUACUGUGAUAGUGCCUAGCUGCCCCACUCAUGGGACACAUACUAGGCAUAAAAGAAACAUGUAACAAAGAGAUCCCACCUUGAAGAGCUUACAAUCUAAGUAGCACAAUCUGUGACCAGCAAUAUAUAUGACAUCCCCUCAGUAAAAAUACUCUUCCCUCUGUCUGUUAAAAAAAUACAUGCCACUGAUUGGUCAGGUAGGGAGUGGGUCCCCUUUGCUUUUUGCAGGGGGCAGGUCUCCUCUGACUAAAGGUGGUCUACCCUGCCUGAUGCAGUGUUGCUAACCUUUGAAUCACAAGUAAUGUGAUUUUGGCCCCUUGCUCAAGCCAGUCUCCAGCCAUAAAACUCCCACAAUUUCCAUCCUAGCAUGGGGGAAAUCCCCCAGGAUUGGCUGCCCUCCCCACUUCUCUGCCUCCUGGGUAUGACUCAGGCACAGCUCUCAUUCCACACUUACCCCAAAGUCCUCUCUGCUCCUGAGGUGGGUAGGUAAGGGGGGAAGGGGGAGAGGCCAACAUCAUUCUCACGAGAGGAGUGGGGGAGGAGGAAAAUGUCCAGCAGUUCAGGGUGGCACUGCUCCCUCCUCCCCAUCUGUGAAAAAUGGCUCAGGAGGACUCCACUCUCUUCUCCUCCCCUUUCCGUUCCUGCACCACAAGGCUUUGGAAGAAAAGGUGAAGAAUGCAAUGAAAUGUACUCCAUGCAGGCCUGGAAAGGGGUAGAAGAGGACCUUAUUGCAGCUGCUCUCUGGGCCUGGAGAGAGGGGAAAUGGUCUGGGAUGUCCCUCUGCUUUCUCUCUCCCAGAUAUUGUCUGCUCCCCAACACCAUCUUUCUCUCUCCCUCAGUGUCUGCUUCAGUUAUUUUCUAGCCUCCCUCUACUAUCCCUAGACACAGAGAAUGGUGUAAAAGGCCACCUAAACUACCUCCUCUGGCCUUAAAGUCAGACCUAAAAUCUUCUGACAUGGGAGGAACUGAGAAACACACCUUGUUGGUCCAUUCCCAGACCAUUUUAAGUAAGCUAUCUUCCACUAAUAUAAUGCAUUCAGAAAUGGGUAGCUGGUCAUUAGGGACUAAUAGGGCUAAAACCCACUAAUAAUGUCAUGGUAGUGUGACUGAUGUUCUACAGGGUGCAGAACUGCCCAUUUCCAUUGGAGGACUACUGGUGCAGCUGGUGAGCCCUUAACCCCACCACUACCCACUGAAUAGAAGAAACCUCCUCCUCUAGCCUCUUCUUUGCCUGAGCCAGGAGAAAGCCUUAUCCCACCCCACCCUCUCUCUUCAGUAGUAUCAUCAUACCCCCAAAAUGAGAUUUUAAAAUAAAUCUCAUGAUUUUGAGACCAAUUUGUCCUUUUUUGGGGGGAGGGGGGCUGUCUUUUGAUUUUUGAACUCCCUCUGCCCCUCCCAGUGUAUGGAGCAGUUACAGUGGUGCCAACUCUCCCAGAUAUAGAGUAAAGUGAUUCUCACCCCCUGCUGCAGGAGCUCUUACCAUGUGCCUGAUGGUACAGAGCUUCCAACCUCAAAAUUCUAAUAAUUCUAUGCCCCCUUUGGCCCAUCUCUCAGCUCAGCAAUUAAUUAUACACCUUCCCAACCCCACUUCUGCAGCUCCAGAGGAGUUCUUCACCUUCCCAGCCAGCACACACAGAGGAUUGGGCUUAUUAGACCCAGUUGGGGAGGAUUCCGAGACUGAUUAGUUGACUGGGUGAGUGACUCAAAAAGAGGAUCUAAGUUCAGUCAACUGGGGAGUUGCUUUAAGCCAGGAAGUAUCUUAAAACAGGAGGGAACUUUUAGUGCACUGUAGCAGGGUCCAUAAGGAGAGUUAGUGCAUGGCAGGCUAGUGCAAGGUACAUUUACCCCACAUCUUGCUGCAAAUUAAGUGAUUGAGUAGACAAGCCCUGAGAGGAAGAACUCAGCUAGGACACAAGCUGCAAGGAAGAGCGCUAUGAAUCCCUGAACCCAAGGGGACAGUCUACAGAACAGCCUGGGCAGGAUUAGAAACAGAGCCUCAAGAAGGAGUGUGAAACCCCUGAACUGGAAAGAGGCUUGGGAAGUCAAAACUAAAAGCACAAAGCCCUCCAAAAACGAGGGCCAUGAAGACCUUGAACUGGUGGGGAGAGUUACAAGCUAGGAAAGCCACAGCUUGAAACAUUCAGCCCCAGGAAGAGGGCCUGGGAAACCCUAAAUCUAAAAAAUGCACCCUUUAUGGGCAGAGCUAGUUAAUCUGAUUAGAUUAGCCCCAAAGGAGGGGGCAUAUUAGUCUUAAAGACUCUGGGUAUAAGUGGGCUAUUCUCACAAUGAAUGAGGGAGAGUGAGGCAGGGUUCCUGCCGGGCCAUCCCUUGCCAUGAGAGGGUGUAUGCAAUAUUCCUACGUAUGCUAUUUUAAUAUUUUAUAUUAUAAUUUAUAUAGGACUGUAUGUGUACAUAAUAAAAUCAAAGCCAAAUAAAAGCACAAAGGGUUGUGAUGAUAUAAAAUCAGUUAUGGAAUCUGUUUUAUAAUGAAACUGUGUUAUAGGCAGUGCAGGUAAUGACAGCUAUAGUUUAGGUUGCAUAACACUUUCCAUUAUAAGACCCUCUUUUUCAGUUGCUUAUAAUUUUGCCUAACUUUAGACCAUUCAGGCUAACGUUUUCCAGGCUACGUCUCUGCCUAUGGCUGAUUUUUUUAAAGUUCCAGCUUAAAAUAGAUCAGCCAUUUCUCAGAGAUUAGUGGGAAUAUGGUGUUUUGCCCAUAUUAAAAAAAAUACAACUGUUUUGUAGAGAUGUUACAGUGCCUCUGUGUUUUAGAGCAAAGGUUUGAAGUUUGGCAGGGGGCACCCCUGUUUCUGGGAAUACGCCUGCUACAUCUUUGUAUAAUUUUUCUUAAAUUUGCCUAAGUUAUAAGCCUCUGAAAAAAACACAGUUUGCACAUGCUCAGUAGAGAUUUGUUAGUAUUUGACAGCUAAAGAUUCCAUCCCCUCUUGACUACCUUAUGCCAAUUGGACUGUUCAUAUGCCAUCCCUGGUGAGUGACUGAGCAUGCUCCAUCCCAGCACUGCAGGACUGAGCUCCUCCUGGGUACUGCACACCACUGUGGCACCAGAACUGAGAACAAAGAGAGUGUUCUUAAUGGUUCCCCUUCUCACAUUCAGAAGAAAGAGGGAGAAGCCUGACCUGAAUGAAGGAUGGAGAGCAAGGGAGUGGGGGGAAGAGAUUCAGGGCAGGAGGACAGAGGUAGGAGUUCAGGAAGGAAGAGUGAUAGGAGUAGGAGCUGGGAUGGGGGAAAAGAAGCAGGAAGCAUCGGCAACGAAGGGAUAGUUGAGAACAAGUAGGGGGCAGGAGCAUGGAAGAAUAGGAACAGAGAGGGAAGGGACUGGAUGGAAGAGAAGAUAAAUAUAGGAGCAGGGAGUGGUGAGGACAGAAUUUGGAGCAGAAGGAGAAACAGGCAGGGAAUGGGAAAAGGAGCAGAGGGAGGAGGGCAGUGGGGGAAUAAUGGUGUGGGAACAGGGACAGGAUCUGGGGAGAUAGAAACAGAGGGGACAGUGAGUAGAAUCCUGAGGUCUGAUUUACAGAAGUGCUGAAUAGAAGCUUUGCUUAGGCCCUUAGGGUCUCAAAUUGGGCUCCAAAUGUAGUACUUUGGUAAUUUCUAUCUUGAUCUAUGUGUCUUAUUUGCUAUGUUGAAAUGGAGGUAAUAUAUCAUUUUACCUCACAGCCUGAUGGUGAAGGUAAAUUCAUUCAGGUUUUUCAAGAACUAAGUCAUGAUGGUGAGACCUGCAUAGAAAAGCCCAUGAGGAAAUGAAUAAUUCCAUAUGCAGUGCUGGCAGGGCUGAUUCUAGAGACAGGUGAGCAGGGUGGCCACCCUAAUUGCUAACUUCCAGGUGGGCCCCAUACCUCUUCACUGCUUGACCUCCUCCACACACCUGCAGCCACUCAUGGGAGAUGGGGUGGAGGCAGCACUGAAAACAUUUUCCUCGUCCGGCAAAUCAGCUGGGGCUGCUCUUGAGUGUAGGGUUUGGAUGGUGCCCAGUAAUUAUGCAUACAGCCAUACUUAGAAUGAUGAGGAUAAAAAGAAACAUUGAGCUUCCCAUUCAGUCAGCACCACCUAUCCUAUGCACUGAAUGAGGCAGGGGUCCUGUGCUAAAAAUUGUAUGUGAUCAUGAUAAAGAGUGUAUCAUAGUGUAUAAAACAUAAUAGGUCCAAUUAAGCAACUUUUGAAAGCUGGAUUUUGCCAUUUUAACAUUUUCUUAAUUCAUUUUUUGUGGGGUGGAAUAGGGCUGCAGAAUAUUGUUACUAAAUGCUGCAGUGUUCAAACAACAAGUGUGUGUCCAGCUUAUAUUUUUUUAAAAUAAAACUACUUCCUUUUGGGUCUGGGUCUGUUCCCAUUGCAGUCAAUGGCAAAACUCCCAUUGAUUUAAAUUAAGCUCUUUAUGGGGCUCCCUAGUGCAUUGUGGUUUAUAUGGUUAUCAGGACCACCUGAUUAAAAAUGCAAGUUUUGAAUUGUGCUGUUUUCAGUACAUUAUACCUUAAGAAGGGGUUUUUGUUUGUUUGUUUUUACUAGUUAUGUCCUUUCUGAAUAUAAGUGGCAGGUUUUUUCUUUAAAAAUACUGUGUUUUGUUAUCUUGUACUAUGGUGAUGAUCAUGCCUAUGGCAUACUUUGCUGCUUCAGCCUAAAGAAGAAGAAGAAUAUUAGAGAAAUAUUAGCUUGUUUUCUUAUUAUUUUUCUGAGCAUAUAAAGCACAAUGCUAAAUACAGAUUUUAAACCAUUUAUGUUGUCAAAUUCAAGUGAAUUAAUAAAGCUCUCA